GCUGGGUGUGGUGGUGCAUGCCUGUAAUCCCAGCUACUCAGGAGGCUGAGGCAGGAGAAUCGCUUGAACCCAGGAGGUGGAGGUUGCAGUGAGCCGAAAUUGCGCCACUGCACUCCAGCCUGGGCAACAGAGUGAGACUCUGUCUCAG
ensembl:misc_RNA Metazoa_SRP Metazoan signal recognition particle RNA